UGGACUCAUGCAAGGCUAAUUUUGAAUGUUGGCCUUCUACAACCACAUCCUCCAUAGUACUGAAUGCCACUUCUAUGUCUUUGCCCAAGUCAUCUCUGCAAGAAAACAAUGUUUCAAGAAAAAGAGGACCCUUUCAAAUGGCAUUUACAAGCUGGCAUGAUGAAGAGGAACACUUUUUAUGGACACACAAUUUCUUUAUUGCAAUAGGUGUGACAUUUCCCUGCAGAUCAUAAGACCAUUAUCAAGCAAAUGAUAAUGGUGUUGGCAUCUACACCUGAAACAUCACAUCAAUUGCAAUAAAGAUCUAUCCACAUACCUUUUUGAAUGGUAGCCUUUACAUACAACCAGGAUGACGUUCUUCAAAGCAAUCUUAGCACUAAGGUCACCUAACUCCCAUACCUUAACACAGACUUAAGGUAAUCGUAGCGCUGAGGUUGUUUUGUGCAACGGCACCAAGAUCCUUUAUGGUUUUGAAUAUGCCAUAUCUUGGACCUAACUGUCUGCUAUCUGUGCUACAUAAAAUAGUCUGU